ACUUUUAAAUGGUGUGCAAAAGCUUCCUUAAUUUCAGGUUCAAGAAUCUUGUGUCCUGUGUUCAGGACUCUACCUUCGCAGGCAGUUAACAUAAUCAGGUCUUGACAAGCAAUCUUUCGCUAUGCAUUGAAGAUGAGUGCCCGCUGCCUGUCGCUUGUUGUUUCCGGAUUUUGUCACUCCACGAAGUGCGUGGGAUAUAAAUAUAUAUAUAGGUAGGUAGUCGGUCUCAGCUUGUUUGCCAGGAGACGGCCCUUUCGGAUUUAUUAUGUUGAUGCCGAGGUGCUGAAAUGCCGAUGUGUG
ensembl:ncRNA lncRNA:CR45633 long non-coding RNA:CR45633